rnacentral:rRNA from 1 species
ACGAACGCUGGCGGCGUGCCUAAUACAUGCAAGGUCAACGGCUUUCUAUGGAAGCUUGCUUCCACUGAGAAGAUAGUGGCGAACGGGUGAGUAACACGUGGGAACCUGCCCAUAAGAGGGGGAUAACAUCCGGAAACGGGUGCUAAUACCGCAUAGUUUUCUUGAUCGCAUGAUUGAGAAAGGAAAGACGGCCUUUGUGCUGUCGCUUAUGGAUGGACCCGCGGCGUAUUAGUUAGUUGGUGAGGUAACGGCUCACCAAGACGAUGAUACGUAGCCGACCUGAGAGGGUGAUCGGCCACAUUGGGACUGAGACACGGCCCAAACUCCUACGGGAGGCAGCAGUAGGGAAUCUUCCGCAAUGGACGAAAGUCUGACGGAGCAACGCCGCGUGAGUGAAGAAAAGGUUUUCGGAUCGUAAAACUCUGUUGUCAGAGAAGAACAAGUUGGAGAGUAACUGCUCCAGCCUUGACGGUAUCUGACCAGAAAGCCACGGCUAACUACGUGCCAGCCGCGGC